GGUGUCUGGGUUUAGGCCAGGAGAUGUUCAAGAACCCGUAUGUGUGAUGUCUGGUGUCUGGGUUUAGGCCUGGAGAUGUACAAGAACACAUAUGUGUGAUGUCUGGUGUCUGGGUUUAGGACAUGAGAUGUACAAGAACACGUAUAUGUGAUGUCUGGUGUCUGGGUUUAGGCCAGGAGAUGUUCAAGAACACGUAUGUGUGAUGUCUGGUGUCUGGGUUUAGGACAUGAGCUGUACAAGAACACGUAUGUGUGAUGUCUGGUGUCUGGGUUUAGGACAUGAGAUGUACAAGAACACGUAUGUGUGAUGUCUGGUGUCUGGGUUUAGGACAGGAGAUGUACAAGAACAUGUAUUUGUGAUGUCUGGUGUCUGGGUUUAGGACAGGAGAUGUACAAGAACACGUAUGUGUGAUAUCUGGUGUCGGGGUAUAGUACGGCAGAUGUUCUAGGGCAUGUGUGAGUGGACAUGAUUUCUAAAAAUCAACAUGGCUGCCAUUUCCCAUCUUAGAUUUUGUGAAAAACAAUAUGAUCGGUCAUUUCUGUAAUCCAAACACGGUAUUGAAUUUUAAAAAAAAGAAAUUUAAUUAUCGCUUUCAAAUCAUCGGACAAAUCACAUUCAAAUAAGCAUAAAAUUCAUUAAAAGUGUGUCUGGUGUCUAGGUUUAGGACAGGAGAUGUACAAGAACAUGUAUGUGUGAUGUCUGGUGUCUGGGUUUAGGACAGGAGAUGUACAAGAACACGUAUGUGUGAUGUUUGGUGUCGGGGUAUAGUACGGCAGAUGUUCUAGGGCAUGUGUGAGUGGACAUGAUUUCUAAAAAUCAACAUGGCUGCCAUUUCCCCAUCUUAGAUUUUGUGAAAAACAAUAUGAUCGGUCAUUUCUGUAGUCCAAACACGGUAUUUCAUU